rnacentral:lncRNA from 1 species
AAGCAAGAGUCAAUUCCCAUCAAAUAUGUAACUCUUUCCCUGCUAACUGCAUCCCGCGUCCUUGUUAUUACUUCGUUUCUCUUUUAUAGGAAAAAACCAUGAUUGAAACUCCAUAUAUGCAAAGUACUCUCAGAAAUAGCUUUGUCAAGAUUCAGGAAUUUCAGCGAACCCUAAACCGAAACUAUUGAGCCUAAAUCUCGAUUUAUUUCCGCCAAUCAAUUAGCCGCUAACAUUUCCCGUGAAAAUAAGUUCACUCAAAUUGAGAUAAACAAGAAUAGUAGAGCAUUACAACCCUGGAUGAUCGCAUAUAUAAAAAAACGUACAUGUACGACAAGAGACAGAGAACUUACGAUCUCGUCCACCGCGAACGCCACCUCUGGUAGGAUGAUACAUAAUUUCCUCGGAAGUCUUUCAAGGAUGUAGGACGAGGAAGGAAGGAUGUAGGACGAGGAAAACCGGAUUAUAGUCUCGAAUCUAGAGUAAAACUCAAAGAAAGAAGUUAGACCUUGGAAUUGACUUGGUAUUUAGGAGAAAAAACCUCCGAAACCUUUGCCAAAUUGCAAAAGUAGUCCUUAUUUUUUAUUAUUUACAAAUGUGUCUUUAAAUC